rnacentral:pre_miRNA from 1 species
UCUUAUGGAUGAGCAAUGAAAGUGGUUUCUUAAGAUGAAAUCUACUUCUGGUGAGGACGCUAUGAA